CCUACGGGAGGCAGCAGUAGGGAAUCUUCCACAAUGGGCGAAAGCCUGAUGGAGCAACGCCGCGUGGGUGAAGAAGGUCUUCGGAUCGUAAAACCCUGUUGUUAGAGAAGAAAGUGCGUGAGAGUAACUGUUCACGUUUCGACGGUAUCUAACCAGAAAGCCACGGCUAACUACGUGCCAGCAGCCGCGGUAAUACGUAGGUGGCAAGCGUUAUCCGGAUUUAUUGGGCGUAAAGGGAACGCAGGCGGUCUUUUAAGUCUGAUGUGAAAGCCUUCGGCUUAACCGGGGGAGGGCAUUGGGAACUGGGGGACUUGGGUGCAGAAGAGGGGAGUGGAACUCCAUGGGUAGCGGUGGAAAG
rnacentral:rRNA from 1 species